AUUGAACGCUGGCGGCAGGCUUAACACAUGCAAGUCGAGCGGUAGCACAAGGGAGCUUGCUCCCUGGGUGACGAGCGGCGGACGGGUGAGUAAUGUCUGGGAAACUGCCUGAUGGAGGGGGAUAACUACUGGAAACGGUAGCUAAUACCGCAUAACGUCGCAAGACCGAAGAGGGGGACCUUCGGGCCUCUUGCCAUCAGAUGUGCCCAGAUGGGAUUAGCUAGUAGGUGGGGUAAUGGCUCACCUAGGCGACGAUCCCUAGCUGGUCUGAGAGGAUGACCAGCCACACUGGAACUGAGACACGGUCCAGACUCCUACGGGAGGCAGCAGUGGGGAAUAUUGCACAAUGGGCGCAAGCCUGAUGCAGCCAUGCCGCGUGUGUGAAGAAGGCCUUCGGGUUGUAAAGCACUUUCAGCGAGGAGGAAGGUGGUGAGCUUAAUACGCUCAUCAAUUGACGUUACUCGCAGAAGAAGCACCGGCUAACUCCGUGCCAGCAGCCGCGGUAAUACGGAGGGUGCAAGCGUUAAUCGGAAUUACUGGGCGUAAAGCGCACGCAGGCGGUUUGUUAAGUCAGAUGUGAAAUCCCCGGGCUCAACCUGGGAACUGCAUUUGAAACUGGCAAGCUAGAGUCUCGUAGAGGGGGGUAGAAUUCCAGGUGUAGCGGUGAAAUGCGUAGAGAUCUGGAGGAAUACCGGUGGCGAAGGCGGCCCCCUGGACGAAGACUGACGCUCAGGUGCGAAAGCGUGGGGAGCAAACA
rnacentral:rRNA from 1 species